GCGCAAUCGUGAGGGCGCUAAGUUAAAUCUGUUAUAUAAAUAAUAAAACAUUUUGUAGUAACGCCAUUGUGAAUUCAGAUAUUCGAGUGCGCACUUGUACCUACUUUGUGUCUAAACUUUUCAUAUAGAGACGAAAUAUGACACCGACAACAAUAUUACUACUACUACUAGCUAUAGCGCCAUGCUUUUCUCAGAGGCCUUUCUACGCUGGAACCCGACCAAUCGGCUACCCGCAGGUCAUCAGAAGAUAUAGACAGGCGGAAUCGUUUGUCGCACCACAAUUAAAAGGAGAUGUGACCUAUGCUCAAAGACUUGAUAAUAUGCCUUUAGACCAACAACCUUUUUGGUACAUAAAUGAGAAUGAAUAUAGAAAGUUUCGAAAUAAUCCGAGAAGCUAUCCGCAGAGACCUAGCGUAUUCAAUGACAAUACAAUAUAAAAUGCUAUGUGAUUUUGUAAGAUUUUAAUUAAAAAUAUUGAUUUUAUGAUUGAUCCUGGAUAAAUCUUGUAUACAUUACA